rnacentral:rRNA from 1 species
UGUUUCGGCAAGGGGGUCAUCCCGACUUACCAACCCGAUGCAAACUGCGAAUACCGGAGAAUGUUAUCACGGGAGACACACGGCGGGUGCUAACGUCCGUCGUGAAGAGGGAAACAACCCAGACCGCCAGCUAAGGUCCCAAAGUCAUGGUUAAGUGGGAAACGAUGUGGGAAGGCCCAGACAGCCAGGAUGUUGGCUUAGAAGCAGCCAUCAUUUAAAGAAAGCGUAAUAGCUCACUGGUCGAGUCGGCCUGCGCGGAAGAUGUAACGGGGCUAAACCAUGCACCGAAGCUGCGGCAGCGACACUAUGUGUUGUUGGGUAGGGGAGCGUUCUGUAAGCCUGUGAAGGUGUACUGUGAGGUAUGCUGGAGGUAUCAGAAGUGCGAAUGCUGACAUAAGUAACGAUAAAGCGGGUGAAAAGCCCGCUCGCCGGAAGACCAAGGGUUCCUGUCCAACGUUAAUCGGGGCAGGGUGAGUCGACCCCUAAGGCGAGGCCGAAAGGCGUAGUCGAUGGGAAACAGGUUAAUAUUCCUGUACUUGGUGUUACUGCGAAGGGGGGACGGAGAAGGCUAUGUUGGCCGGGCGACGGUUGUCCCGGUUUAAGCGUGUAGGCUGGUUUUCCAGGCAAAUCCGGAAAAUCAAGGCUGAGGCGUGAUGACGAGGCACUACGGUGCUGAAGCAACAAAUGCCCUGCUUCCAGGAAAAGCCUCUAAGCAUCAGGUAACAUCAAAUCGUACCCCAAACCGACACAGGUGGUCAGGUAGAGAAUACCAAGGCGCUUGAGAGAACUCGGGUGAAGGAACUAGGCAAAAUGGUGCCGUAACUUCGGGAGAAGGCACGCUGAUAUGUAGGUGAAGCGACUUGCUCGUGGAGCUGAAAUCAGUCGAAGAUACCAGCUGGCUGCAACUGUUUAUUAAAAACACAGCACUGUGCAAACACGAAAGUGGACGUAUACGGUGUGACGCCUGCCCGGUGCCGGAAGGUUAAUUGAUGGGGUUAGCGCAAGCGAAGCUCUUGAUCGAAGCCCCGGUAAACGGCGGCCGUAACUAUAACGGUCCUAAGGUAGCGAAAUUCCUUGUCGGGUAAGUUCCGACCUGCACGAAUGGCGUAAUGAUGGCCAGGCUGUCUCCACCCGAGACUCAGUGAAAUUGAACUCGCUGUGAAGAUGCAGUGUACCCGCGGCAAGACGGAAAGACCCCGUGAACCUUUACUAUAGCUUGACACUGAACAUUGAGCCUUGAUGUGUAGGAUAGGUGGGAGGCUUUGAAGUGUGGACGCCAGUCUGCAUGGAGCCGACCUUGAAAUACCACCCUU